UUUUGCCUUGUGACUACACUUGAAGCUUUAUGUAAACCCUAGACCUUUAAACUUUUCAUAAUUGUGCUUUGUUUCCUCAAAGAAUGGGAUUUUCAGCGGCUAAGACUUGCCCGACUCUGCCCUUCUCUAGCUGCGGGGUUACUGUGAGAAUGGAGUGAGUUAAAAUGUGUGACGGCGGGCGGCUCACAAACAGCCACUCUCCUUCAGCCUGGUGGUAAUGACCUGGGAGCCCACCAGGUGUGCAGACACACUCACCGCUCUGCACACCCCCACCCACCCCGCAGAGGUGGUGGGCACCGUUACCACGGCACAGAGCUUGUGGCAGGUGCAACAGAGCGACGCCCUGACCUGCAGGGGCUUCUGAUAGAUGUGAGGACGGCAGAUGUGUAACCAGAAGACCCCCAACCUGGCCUGUGAUGCGGCUCGAAAGUACGUCAGCCUGGAGGGGGCUGGCCAAGUGUCGUUCUUUCUCCUACGGUUCUGAUGAAGAAGCUGGGACAAACGUUAAGGGACAGUGGGCAUUUAACUUACGUAGCCCACGUGGGUCACAGGAAGGAGCCACUGAGGACACGGGCAGCCACGUGUUCCCCACACUCUGACCUUGUGGAAUGUGCAGAAACAGCUCUGCUGUGCCCGAGGCCCAGUGCGCUCACCCCUCUCCCCCCAGAGCCGCAGGGCUCGCUCCCACUUCCUCUCCCGACCAGCCUGUGUAAACAGAUCGACACACUCGGCCGGCCCAGCCCCCUCCUCCGCUUUCAUGCCCAGCACUUAUCGCUGCUCACAUCUGCUGUGUGUGUGUGCACAUGAGCAUACGUGGAGCUGGAUUUAUUGACUCCGCCCGUCUCCUCCAUCCCCACCCGCCCCAGAAGGAAAGGCCCACCAGGGAGGGGCCCUUUGGUUUUGCUCAGAGCACUGCGGCCAGUCAAUAAAUAUUUGUUGAAGGAAUUAAUGAAAGCUCUCCUCCCACUUAUGUUACUGCCUUUCAGUUUCUAAUUUCAAGUUACAAGUGGACUAUGGACUGCAGAUUACUAUAUCUAUUGUGCCCCGAUGCUAAUUAAAGAAUCAUUAGAUUCACUUGAAACAAACUCGGCUUGAUUUUAAUC
rnacentral:lncRNA from 1 species